GACGUAGGGCGCGAGCGUUGUCCGGAUUUACUGGGCGUAAAGGGCGCGUAGGCGGUCAGCACAAGUCAGUUGUGAAAUCUCCGGGCUUAACUCGGAAAGGUCAACUGAUACUGUGCGACUAGAGUGCGGAAGGGGCAACUGGAAUUCUCGGUGUAGCGGUGAAAUGCGUAGAUAUCGAGAGGAACACCUGCGGCGAAGGCGGGUUGCUGGGCCGACACUGACGCUGAUGCGCGAAAGCCAGGGGAGCGAACGGG
rnacentral:rRNA from 1 species